ensembl:snRNA U2 U2 spliceosomal RNA
AUCGCUUCUCGGCCUUUUGGCUAAGAUCAAGUGUAGUAUCUGUUCUUAUCCGUUUAAUAUCUGAUACGUCCCCCAGCGGGGGACUACAUAUUAAGCGGCUCCACGCAUCGACCCAGUAUUGCAGUGCCUCUGGGAGCGGUGCACUUUCA